rnacentral:rRNA from 1 species
GAUGAACGCUGGCGGCGUGCCUAAUACAUGCAAGUCGAGCGAACGGACGAGAAGCUUGCUUCUCUGAUGUUAGCGGCGGACGGGUGAGUAACACGUGGAUAACCUACCUAUAAGACUGGGAUAACUUCGGGAAACCGGAGCUAAUACCGGAUGAUAUUUUGAACCGCAUGGUUCAAAAGUGAAAGACGGUCUUGCUGUCACUUAUAGAUGGAUCCGCGCUGCAUUAGCUAGUUGGUAAGGUAACGGCUUACCAAGGCAACGAUGCAUAGCCGACCUGAGAGGGUGUUCGGCCACACUGGAACUGAGACACGGUCCAGACUCCUACGGGAGGCAGCAGUAGUGAAUCUUCCGCAAUGGGCGAAAGCCUGACGGAGCAACGCCGCGUGAGUGAUGAAGGUCUUCGGAUCGUAAAACUCUGUUAUUAGGGAAGAACAUAUGUGUAAGUAACUGUGCACAUCUUGACGGUACCUAAUCAGAAAGCCACGGCUAACUACGUG